AUUGAACGCUGGCGGCAGGCCUAACACAUGCAAGUCGAGCGGAUGAAGGGAGCUUGCUCCUGGAUUCAGCGGCGGACGGGUGAGUAAUGCCUAGGAAUCUGCCUGGUAGUGGGGGAUAACGUCCGGAAACGGGCGCUAAUACCGCAUACGUCCUGAGGGAGAAAGUGGGGGAUCUUCGGACCUCACGCUAUCAGAUGAGCCUAGGUCGGAUUAGCUAGUUGGUGGGGUUAAGGCCUACCAAGGCGACGAUCCGUAACUGGUCUGAGAGGAUGAUCAGUCACACUGGAACUGAGACACGGUCCAGACUCCUACGGGAGGCAGCAGUGGGGAAUAUUGGACAAUGGGCGAAAGCCUGAUCCAGCCAUGCCGCGUGUGUGAAGAAGGCCUUCGGAUUGUAAAGCACUUUAAGUUGGGAGGAAGGGCAGUAAGUUAAUACCUUGCUGUUUUGACGUUACCAACAGAAUAAGCACCAGCUAACUUCGUG
rnacentral:rRNA from 1 species